GACGAACGCUGGCGGCGUGCCUAAUACAUGCAAGUCGAACGAGAGCGCCCGGUGCUUGCACUGGUCAAUCUAGUGGCGAACGGGUGAGUAACACGUGGGUAACCUGCCCAUCAGAGGGGGAUAACAUCCGGAAACGGAUGCUAAAACCGCAUAGGUCUUCGAGCCGCAUGGCUUGAAGAGGAAAAGAGGCGCAAGCUUCUGCUGAUGGAUGGACCCGCGGUGCAUUAGCUAGUUGGUGAGGUAACGGCUCACCAAGGCCGUGAUGCAUAGCCGACCUGAGAGGGUGAUCGGCCACAUUGGGACUGAGACACGGCCCAAACUCCUACGGGAGGCAGCAGUAGGGAAUCUUCCGCAAUGGACGCAAGUCUGACGGAGCAACGCCGCGUGAGUGAAGAAGGUUUUCGGAUCGUAAAACCCUGUUGUUAGAGAAGAACAAGUGCUAGAGUAACUGUUAGCGCCUUGACGGUAUCUAACCAGAAAGCCACGGCUAACUACGUG
rnacentral:rRNA from 1 species